rnacentral:pre_miRNA from 14 species
UUUCAGAAGAUGUGAUUGAAAGACCCCCGGAGUGGGGAGACCCUCACUCAAGUCUCGGGAUGACGCAACCCCCCAAGAACUCACACAAGACC